AGGUAACACUGACUGGAGGACCGAACCCACUCCCGUUGAAAAGGUAGGGGAUGACUUGUGGAUCGGAGUGAAAGGCUAAUCAAGCUCGGAGAUAGCUGGUUCUCCUCGAAAGCUAUUUAGGUAGCGCCUCAUGUAUCACUCUGGGGGGUAGAGCACUGUUUCGGCUAGGGGGUCAUCCCGACUUACCAAACCGAUGCAAACUCCGAAUACCCAGAAGUGCCGAGCAUGGGAGACACACGGCGGGUGCUAACGUCCGUCGUGAAAAGGGAAACAACCCAGACCGCCAGCUAAGGUCCCAAAGUUGUGGUUAAGUGGUAAACGAUGUGGGAAGGCUUAGACAGCUAGGAGGUUGGCUUAGAAGCAGCCAUCCUUUAAAGAAAGCGUAAUAGCUCACUAGUCGAGUCGGCCUGCGCGGAAGAUGUAACGGGGCUCAAACCACACACCGAAGCUGCGGGUGUCACGUAAGUGACGCGGUAGAGGAGCGUUCUGUAAGCCUGUGAAGGUGAGUUGAGAAGCUUGCUGGAGGUAUCAGAAGUGCGAAUGCUGACAUGAGUAACGACAAUGGGUGUGAAAAACACCCACGCCGAAAGACCAAGGGUUCCUGCGCAACGUUAAUCGACGCAGGGUUAGUCGGUUCCUAAGGCGAGGCUGAAAAGCGUAGUCGAUGGGAAACAGGUUAAUAUUCCUGUACUUCUGGUUACUGCGAUGGAGGGACGGAGAAGGCUAGGCCAGCUUGGCGUUGGUUGUCCAAGUUUAAGGUGGUAGGCUGAAAUCUUAGGUAAAUCCGGGGUUUCAAGGCCGAGAGCUGAUGACGAGUCGUCUUUUAGAUGACGAAGUGGUUGAUGCCAUGCUUCCAAGAAAAGCUUCUAAGCUUCAGGUAACCAGGAACCGUACCCCAAACCGACACAGGUGGUCGGGUAGAGAAUACCAAGGCGCUUGAGAGAACUCGGGUGAAGGAACUAGGCAAAAUGGCACCGUAACUUCGGGAGAAGGUGCGCCGGCUAGGGUGAAGGAUUUACUCCGUAAGCUCUGGCUGGUCGAAGAUACCAGGCCGCUGCGACUGUUUAUUAAAAACACAGCACUCUGCAAACACGAAAGUGGACGUAUAGGGUGUGACGCCUGCCCGGUGCCGGAAGGUUAAUUGAUGGGGUUAGCGCAAGCGAAGCUCUUGAUCGAAGCCCCGGUAAACGGCGGCCGUAACUAUAACGGUCCUAAGGUAGCGAAAUUCCUUGUCGGGUAAGUUCCGACCUGCACGAAUGGCGUAACGAUGGCGGCGCUGUCUCCACCCGAGACUCAGUGAAAUUGAAAUCGCUGUGAAGAUGCAGUGUAUCCGCGGCUAGACGGAAAGACCCCGUGAACCUUUACUGUAGCUUUGCACUGGACUUUGAGCCUGCUUGUGUAGGAUAGGUGGGAGGCUUUGAAGCGUGGACGCCAGUUCGCGUGGAGCCAUCCUUGAAAUACCACCCUGGCAUGCUUGAGGUUCUAACUCUGGUCCGUAAUCCGGAUCGAGGACAGUGUAUGGUGGGCAGUUUGACUGGGGCGGUCUCCUCCUAAAGAGUAACGGAGGAGUACGAAGGUGCGCUCAGACCGGUCGGAAAUCGGUCGCAGAGUAUAAAGGCAAAAGCGCGCUUGACUGCGAGACAGACACGUCGAGCAGGUACGAAAGUAGGUCUUAGUGAUCCGGUGGUUCUGUAUGGAAGGGCCAUCGCUCAACGGAUAAAAGGUACUCCGGGGAUAACAGGCUGAUACCGCCCAAGAGUUCAUAUCGACGGCGGUGUUUGGCACCUCGAUGUCGGCUCAUCACAUCCUGGGGCUGAAGCCGGUCCCAAGGGUAUGGCUGUUCGCCAUUUAAAGUGGUACGCGAGCUGGGUUUAGAACGUCGUGAGACAGUUCGGUCCCUAUCUGCCGUGGACGUUUGAGAUUUGAGAGGGGCUGCUCCUAGUACGAGAGGACCGGAGUGGACGAACCUCUGGUGUUCCGGUUGUCACGCCAGUGGCAUUGCCGGGUAGCUAUGUUCGGAAAAGAUAACCGCUGAAAGCAUCUAAGCGGGAAACUUGCCUCAAGAUGAGAUCUCACUGGGAACUUGAUUCCCCUGAAGGGCCGUCGAAGACUACGACGUUGAUAGGCUGGGUGUGUAAGCGUUGUGAGGCGUUGAGCUAACCAGUACUAAUUGCCCGUGAGGCUUGACCAU
rnacentral:rRNA from 1 species